rnacentral:rRNA from 1 species
UACGAAGGGAGCUAGCGUUGUUCGGAAUUACUGGGCGUAAAGCGUGCGUAGGUGGUUCGUUAAGUCUGAUGUGAAAGCCCCUGGGCUCAACCUGGGAAUGGCAUUGGAAACUGGCGACCUAGAGUGCGGUAGAGGGCAGUGGAAUUCCCCGGUGUAGCAGUGAAAUGCGUAGAGAUCGGGAGGAACAUCUGUGGCGAAGGCGACUGCCUGGACCAGCACUGACACUGAGGCACGAAGGCCAGGGGAGCAAACGGGAUUAGAA